rnacentral:misc_RNA from 1 species
UCAAACUUGGUCAUUUAGAGGAAGUAAAAGUCGUAACAAGGUCUCCGUUGGUGAACCAGCGGAGGGAUCAUUACAGGAAGCGUCGAAAGACGUCUCUAUACACCACUGUGAACCUACCAUCGUCGUGCUUCGGCAGGCGGGCAGAUAUGUCUCCUCAUAUCUGCUCUAUGAGCCUCGGUGAGGUGCCUGCCGGAGUGCAAACUCAAAAACUCUUGAAAUCAUUGUGGAGCAUCAGACAACCCAAGAAAAUAAAUUGUAACAACUUUCAACAAUGGAUCUCUUGGCUCUGGCAUCGAUGAAGAACGCAGC